rnacentral:misc_RNA from 1 species
UACGGAGAAGGCAAGCGUUACCCGGAAUUACUGGGCGUAAAGCGUUGCGUAGGCGGCCUAAUAAGUGAAUUGCGAAACCUCACGGCUCAACCGUGAGAUGGUACUUCAAACUAUUAGGCUAGAGGACAGUAGAGGUGAGUGGAAUUCCUGGUGUAGGAGUGAUAUCCGUAGAUACCAGGAGGAACACCAAUGGCGAAGGCAGCUCACUGGACUGAUCCUGACGCUGAUGCACGAAAGCGUAGGGAGCGAACCGG